CCCCCAGAACUAUCAGUGCAGCCCCCACCAUGCAGUCUGCCCUCGGUCUGCUUUCCAUCCUGACCCUGUUCCAAGGUGUGCAGGGUGACGUCCAGCUGGUGGAGUCCGGGGGAGACGUGAGACAGCCUGGGGGGUCUCUGCGCCUCUCCUGUAAAGCCUCCGGAUUCACCUUCAGCAGUUACAGGAUGAACUGGGUCCGCCAGGCUCCAGGGAAGGGACUCGAAUGGGUCGCAUACAUAAGUACUAGUUCAAACCCAAUAUACUAUCUAGACUCCGUGAAAGGCCGAUUCACCAUCUCCAGAGACGAUGCCAACAGCCUGCUGCAUCUGCAAAUGAACAGCCUGAAAACCGAGGACACGGCCCUUUAUUACUGUGCGAGAGACACAGUGAGAGAAACCACAUACUGA